CCUUUUGAGAACUACACCAAACUAGAGUAGAUUUUUAAAUUAAAAUAGAGUUUGAUGAAAAAGGAA
rnacentral:sRNA from 18 species